CUUUUUAUUUAAAAAAAAAACACAAAAAAAAGGUUUCCUUUUCUCUCAAGCAGGCCCAGAAUCCGGCCAAACCCCAGCGAGUGGCCACUGCGCCGGCCGACGUUCGCCGGCUCCGCCGUGUACGGCGGCGUUGAGUCAAAGAGCCUCUUUUUUUAAACCCGUUUCAGAUCCCUUUCGAAAGCCAAACAUCUCUGGGCCAAAAAGACGACUCCUGGCCCCUUUUCUCCUCUCGGAUCCGACGGCCAUGAAGGAGGAGAGCCCUCCGACGGUGAACCCGCAAGGCGUUUCAGGUGUGCGACGACUGCAGCAACGUGGGAAGCGACGUGCUGCGAUGGAGGCGUGCGAGCGGCGUGAUCUGCGGAGGUGGUUGUGGCUUGCGGCGGCUGGAGAGGGGAGGCUACCUAGGGUUCUUUUUUGUUUUCUAAUUUUGGGCUGAUUUGUUUAUUGGGCUAGGGUUAAUUUUUAUUGGGCCAUUUUGUUAAUAGGCCAGGCUAAAAUUGGUAUUACAAUACACAUAUAAAAAAAGAGUAUUUAUGUAUAAAAAACAUACAUAUACAUAUAUACAUAUAUAGGCAAUUAUAUAAUAAUAAUAUAAUAUGAAGCAUAUAUACGUAUAUACAUCAGCGGGUCAGGGAUUCAAUCGAAAACCGAACAAAAUUUUAAGGGCCAAAUCAGAAAACGCAGAACAAAGGGCAGAAGGGCCAAAUUGAAAACAAGCGAUAAAACGGAAGGAUCCACUGCGCAAAUAGCCUAUUUUGCGAAAACGUGCGGACCCUCCGGGUCGGAUCGGGUCGACGCGCGGAUCUUGGGGGGCCAAAAACGAUGCCGUUUCCUUUCCCUAUUUAAGCCCGGUUUUUAUUUUUUUAUUUUUUUCGUUUUUCCCUUUUCUUUUUUAAAAACAAACAGAGAAGGCUCCCUCCCCUCUCUCAAAUCCGACCAAGGUCUGGCCUAGGUGAUCGGUGCGCCUCCGCCGUAGCACAACCGUAGGCGGCAGCCGAAGGUGCAAAAUCGGAUCUUUUUGAGUCCAUUUUGAAGCUAAAUGCCCCUAGGACAUGGAUCCAUGGCGGAACUUCGAGAAAGAUGAGCCCAAGGCCCGAAAACGAGGGGGAAACCGUUCGCCUCCUCCUCCUCCGGCGCGGCGCAGGUAAGGUUUUUCUUUGUCUCCUUUUUUACUAUAUUUAUUUAUAUAGAUGUAAACGAAAAGAAGAGAGAACAAAAUAAAAAUAAACCAACUUCAAAAUUGAAAAGAAGAGAAAAAAUUUGGAAUCUGUUUUUUUUUUAUUUUCUUUCGAUUGAACCCCUUUUUUUUUUUACAAAAGUCGCCCCCUUUACAAUGGUUUUUCAAUCGGUUUUGAACCGAAAAUAAUACCCCCCGUUUACAUUUUACAAUAUUCGGCUUUAUAGCAGAGAGAAAGCUAAAUUUUUUUUUCUGUCUAGUCUUGUCUGCUUUUGCUUUUCUUCUUGCGUGUUUGCAGGUGACCGUACGGCGGUGGCAGGAGGCGUCUGACGCACAUGGUAGCAGGUGGCGCGACGCUGGAGAGGCAGGGAAACCCUAGGGUUUUCUUUUUUACUAAAAUUUGUUUAUGUUUUGGGCCGUUUGGGCCAUUGGUCUCUCUUUUUUUUAAAAAAAUUUUGGGCUAGGUUAAUAAUUUUGGGUUUGUUUGGGUUUGAUUUGGGCUCGGGCAGAAAAUGGGCCGUACAGCGAAUAUUGCAUUUAUUUUAAAAAUCCUUGAUUCGAGGUAGCAAAACAUCAGAUCCAAUAAGUUAGGAUCCAACAUUUUGAAAUUCCAAAGAGCUUUGUUUAGAAGUUAUAGGGUUUAAAAAAACGCUUAGCUAUUUGA